rnacentral:rRNA from 1 species
GAGGAAUUUUGCGCAAUGGCCGCAAGGCUGACGCAGCAACGCCGCGUGGGUGAUGAAGGCCUUCGGGUCGUAAAGCCCUGUCAGGGGGGAAGAGAUGCCUGGUGAGGAAAGGUUUAAGGUUUGACGGUACCACCAGAGGAAGCACCGGCUAACUCCGUGCCAGCAGCCGCGGUAAUACGGAGGGUGCGAGGGUUAUUCGGAAUUACUGGGCGUAAAGCGCGUGUAGGCGGGGGGACAAGUCUGAUGUGAAAGCCUUGGGCUUAACCUGGGAAGCGCAUUGGAAACUGUUUUUCUUGAGUACUGGAGAGGAAGGGGGAAUUCCCGGUGUAGAGGUGAAAUUCGUAGAGAUCGGGAGGAAUACCAGUGGCGUAGGCGCCCUUCUGGACGGUAACUGACGCUGAGACGCGAAAGCGUGGGGAGCAAACA